UACAGAGGUCUCAAGCGUUGUUCGGAUUCAUUGGGCGUAAAGGGUGCGUAGGUGGCGCGCUAAGUCAGGUGUGAAAUUUCGGAGCUUAACUCCGAAACUGCAUUUGAUACUGGCGUGCUCGAGUACUGGAGAGGAGAUUGGAAUUUACGGUGUAGCAGUGAAAUGCGUAGAUAUCGUAAGGAAGACCAGUGGCGAAGGCGAAUCUCUGGACAGUUACUGACACUGAGGCACGAAGGCCAGGGGAGCAAACGGG
rnacentral:rRNA from 1 species